GGAAAAUAAACCUGCUGACAUAAUUUGCUGACGAUUCAGAAUUGGCUAUCAAUAGAAUUACAAUCUUGGUGAAAUUGGAGGGAAAAAUAUAGGGAGCUCUCCUGUGAGAAAAAAUAUAAAUGGAAAAUUGUCACCAAAUCACUAUUGGUGGUGGGGAGUUAGGGGAUUGCCCCUGGGGAAAAAUAAGUCAUUGGAUGAUGCGGGCUGAGAGAGACGGACUGAAGAGCGCCGGAGUGCUCCUGACUGACCUACCCAGCCCCAAAUCCUCACUCAGCACCAGGAAAUGGGAACUGUUAUCUCCUUGCCAAGAUGGGGAGACUGAGGCCCAGGUGGACUGAUAAACUUGGCAAGCUCUACAAGCAAAAUAAUAGAGGAUGUGGGAAUUAAAACUCAUGGCUACGAGGCACCAAAAUCCUCACUGAAAAAAACAGAGUGAGCAUAAAGAAAUGGUACUCUGAGAGAGAGAGAUAGAGAGAGAGAGAGAGAGAGAGAGAGAGAGAGAGAGAGAGAGAGAGAGAGAGAGAUUGAAAGGAAGCGGAUGGGGAGCCUGGGUUUUAAAUGUGAUUCAUUGACUAGCUGAUUGAGAGGAAGUUUCUAAAGGUCCAUAGCACAGUGGGCUGAGGGGCACUGCAAUUCUUCUCCCUCCAACUCCCAGAGACUAAGUCCAGCAGCGUGGGCUUCAAUGAGGGGCACUUUGGUACCAGAAGGAUACAGGCUGGACAGAUUCCAAUAGAGCAAUAAAGGGAGCAAUGAACGGUAAAGGAAACAGAGAUUUAUCUGUCAAAGGAUGCAUGAAUCCAAACACUUUCAGCUUGCUUUAAUGGGGAGGAGAGGACACAGGAUGACAACUCUUUGAAGUGUGUGUUUGCUCUUAAGGAGUGAUUAGCUUGUAGCAGGAGUACAUCCAGGAAUAAAAAGUGAUGAAAUGUGGACAAGAAACCUCUCAACUGAUGGUAGAAAAUGGUUUUUGGAAAAAUUACAGGGCAACUCCUUGAGGCUCCGAUGUUUCUCACUUUCCCUGACUCACUUGUUUUCUGGGAGUCCCAGCGUCUCCUGAAGAAACCCCUUUUCCAUUCAGCCGGCAGCUGCAGCAGGUGGCAUGGGCCAGGCCAGCCCUCUGGGGAUGCUGAUCCCAGGGAGCAUCCAGGCCGGAAGGUCCAAAUAGGGACAUGGAUGAACCUGGAAACCCUCAUUCUCAACAAAUUGACACAAGAACAGAAAAUCAAACACUGCGUGUUCUCACUCAUAGGUGGGUGUUGAACAAUGAGAACACAUGGACCCAGGGAGGGGAGC
rnacentral:lncRNA from 1 species